UACAGAGGUCUCAAGCGUUGUUCGGAAUCACUGGGCGUAAAGCGUGCGUAGGCUGUUUCGUAAGUCGUGUGUGAAAGGCGCGGGCUCAACCCGCGGACGGCACAUGAUACUGCGAGACUAGAGUAAUGGAGGGGGAACCGGAAUUCUCGAUGUAGCAGUGAAAUGCGUAGAUAUCGAGAGGAACACUCGUGGCGAAGGCGGGUUCCUGGACAUUAACUGACGCUGAGGCACGAAGGCCAGGGGAGCGAAAGGG
rnacentral:rRNA from 1 species